CCUGGAGGACUAAGAAGGCUGAGUCUGAUGAAGCAAGACUGCUGAUACAAUCCUCCAAGACAAAGGGGUGGAGAGAGCAGCCCUUAUUGAAGAGCAGCGCAGGGCUGACUGUACUACCCGACAUUC
ensembl:snoRNA